GCAGGGGUAGCCAAGCCUGGCCAAAGGCGCGGGCUUGAGGGGCCCGUCCCGUAGGGGUUCGCGAGUUCGAAUCUCGUCCCCUGCA
rnacentral:tRNA from 1 species